AGUGAACGCUGGCGGCGUGCCUAAUACAUGCAAGUCGAACGAUGAAGCUUCUAGCUUGCUAGAAUGCUGAUUAGUGGCGCACGGGUGAGUAACGCAUAGGUCAUGUGCCUCUUAGUUUGGGAUAGCCAUUGGAAACGAUGAUUAAUACCAGAUACUCCCUACGGGGAAAGAUUUAUCGCUAAGAGAUCAGCCUAUGUCCUAUCAGCUUGUUGGUAAGGUAAUGGCUUACCAAGGCUAUGACGGGUAUCCGGCCUGAGAGGGUGAACGGACACACUGGAACUGAGACACGGUCCAGACUCCUACGGGAGGCAGCAGUAGGGAAUAUUGCUCAAUGGGGGAAACCCUGAAGCAGCAACGCCGCGUGGAGGAUGAAGGUUUUAGGAUUGUAAACUCCUUUUGUUAGAGAAGAUAAUGACGGUAUCUAACGAAUAAGCACCGGCUAACUCCGUGCCAGCAGCCGCGGUAAUACGGAGGGUGCAAGCGUUACUCGGAAUCACUGGGCGUAAAGAGCGCGUAGGCGGGAUAGUCAGUCAGGUGUGAAAUCCUAUGGCUUAACCAUAGAACUGCAUUUGAAACUACUAUUCUAGAGUGUGGGAGAGGUAGGUGGAAUUCUUGGUGUAGGGGUAAAAUCCGUAGAGAUCAAGAGGAAUACUCAUUGCGAAGGCGACCUGCUGGAACAUUACUGACGCUGAUUGUGCGAAAGCGUGGGGAGCAAACAGGAUUAGAUACCCUGGUAGUCCACGCCCUAAACGAUGGAUGCUAGUUGUUGGAGGGCUUAGUCUCUCCAGUAAUGCAGCUAACGCAUUAAGCAUCCCGCCUGGGGAGUACGGUCGCAAGAUUAAAACUCAAAGGAAUAGACGGGGACCCGCACAAGCGGUGGAGCAUGUGGUUUAAUUCGAAGAUACACGAAGAACCUUACCUAGGCUUGACAUUGAGAGAAUCCGCUAGAAAUAGUGGAGUGUCUGGCUUGCCAGACCUUGAAAACAGGUGCUGCACGGCUGUCGUCAGCUCGUGUCGUGAGAUGUUGGGUUAAGUCCCGCAACGAGCGCAACCCCCUUUCUUAGUUGCUAACAGGUCAUGCUGAGAACUCUAAGGAUACUGCCUCCGUAAGGAGGAGGAAGGUGGGGACGACGUCAAGUCAUCAUGGCCCUUACGCCUAGGGCUACACACGUGCUACAAUGGGGUGCACAAAGAGAAGCAAUACUGCGAAGUGGAGCCAAUCUUCAAAACACCUCUCAGUUCGGAUUGUAGGCUGCAACUCGCCUGCAUGAAGCUGGAAUCGCUAGUAAUCGCAAAUCAGCCAUGUUGCGGUGAAUACGUUCCCGGGUCUUGUACUCACCGCCCGUCACACCAUGGGAGUUGUGUUUGCCUUAAGUCAGGAUGCUAAAUUGGCUACUGCCCACGGCACACACAGCGACUGGGGUGAAGUCGUAACAAGGUAACCGUAGUGAACC
rnacentral:rRNA from 1 species